rnacentral:rRNA from 1 species
AGCAGCCGCGGUAAUUCCAGCUCCAAUAGCGUAUAUUAAAGUUGUUGCAGUUAAAAAGCUCGUAGUUGAAUUUCGGGAUCAAUAUGUUGGUCGUGCCUUGGUACGUACUGGCAUUAUCGAUUCCUACCUUCUGAAGAACCUCGAUGUCAUUAAUUUGGUGCCUUGGGGAACCAGGACUGUUACUUUGAAAAAUUGAGUGUUUAAAGCAGGCUCGCGCUUGAAUACAUUAGCAUGGAAUAAUGAAAUAGGACGUUUGAUUCUAUUUUGUGGUUUCUAGGAUUCGACGUAAUGAUUAAUAGGGAUAGUUGGGGGCAUUAGUAUUCAAUUGUCAGAGGUGAAAUUCUUGGAUUUAUUGAAGACU